AAAACAUCGCGCACAUGAUCCUCUAUUCUCCUUACCAUGUUGGUGGCAAUCUUGGAAGUCAUAUGUUUAAGCUGGAGGAGCCACAAGAGAGAAGGAGGCUGGGUUCCUGGAAGAGAAAACUGCUCAACAGGAACACCCAUUUUGGAUUUGAAAUGCACUUCAACUUGGACACAGAAGAUUAUCUGGUGCCAAGUAUUUGCUGAUUACUGUGUAUAAAAAAGUCAAAUGCACCUUUGAGCUUUGGAUGGUGUCUCCAUAGGAAACCCGAUGUAACCUCCCGAGGCUCCAAAGCUUUUGGUGAAUGUGCCCAUAAACACAUCGACAUCUUG